GGUUCAGAACGAACGCUGGUGGCGUGUCUAUACAUGCAAGUCGAGCGGUCCGCAAGGAUAGCGGCGAACGGGUGAGUAACGCGUAAGCAAUCUGCCCCGCAUAUUGGGAUAGCCGUGCCAACGCGCGGAUAAUACCGAAUAACGUGGCCCCGGACAUCCGGGGUUGACGAAAGAUUCAUCGAUGCGGGAUGAGCUUGCGUCCGAUUAGCUAGUGGCGGGGCAACGGCCCACCAAGGCGACGAUCGGUAGCCGGCCUGAGAGGGUGAUCGGCCACAUUGGGACUGAGAUACGGCCCAGACUCCUACGGGAGGCAGCAGUAGGGAAUAUUGCACAAUGGGGGAAACCCUGAUGCAGCAACGCCACGUUGUGGGAAGAAGCAUUUCGGUGUGUAAACCACUGUCGUGAGGGAAUAAUAUGCGUCUUCGGGCGCGGGGGAAUGUACCUCGAGAGGAAGCACCGGCAAACUUCGUGCCAGCCGCCGC
rnacentral:rRNA from 1 species